AAUAGGUAUCAGAUUCGGAACGAGUACAGUUUGGCUGAUCCAGAACUGUACAAAGCUGCUGAUAAAGAUGAUCCAGAAGCUCUACUUGAAGGCGUUGCCAUGGCUGGACUUGUUGGUGUUUUGCGUCAGCUUGGUGACCUCGCCGAGUUUGCUUCUGAGAUAUUCCAUGACUUGCAUGAAGAAGUGAUGGCAACUGCUGCAAGAGGUCAUAGUCUAACGGUCAGGGUCAAGCAGCUUGAAGCUGAUUUUCCUUUGAUUGAGAGCGCAUUCCUCUCACAGACCGAUCACUCUUCUUUCUUCUAUAAUGCUGGUACUGAUUGGCAUCCUAAUCUGCGAAUCGACCAAAAUAUGGUUACAAGGGGA
rnacentral:misc_RNA from 1 species